CCUACGGGAGGCAGCAGUAAGGAAUAUUGGUCAAUGGACGCAAGUCUGAACCAGCCAUGCCGCGUGGAGGAUGAAGGUCCUCUGGAUUGUAAACUUCUUUUAUGUGGGACGAAAAAGGGCCUUUCUAGAUCAACUGACGGUACCAUGUGAAUAAGCACCGGCUAACUCCGUGCCAGCAGCCGCGGUAAUACGGAGGGUGCAAGCGUUAUCCGGAUUUACUGGGUUUAAAGGGUGCGUAGGUGGGUUGGUAAGUCAGUGGUGAAAUCUCCGAGCUUAACUUGGAAACUGCCAUUGAUACUAUCAGUCUUGAAUAUUGUGGAGGUUAGCGGAAUAUGUCAUGUAGCGGUGAAAUGCUUAGAUAUGACAUAGAACACCAAUUGCGAAGGCAGCUUACUACGGAUAUAUUGACACUGAGGCACGAAAGCGUGGGGAUCAAACAGGAUUAGAUACCCUGGUAGUCCACGCCCUAAACGAUGGAUACUCGACAUCAGCGAUACACUGUUGGUGUCUGAGCGAAAGCAUUAAGUAUCCCACCUGGGAAGUACGAUCGCAAGAUUGAAACUCAAAGGAAUUGACGG
rnacentral:rRNA from 1 species